rnacentral:rRNA from 1 species
UACGUAGGGGGCAAGCGUUGUCCGGAAUCAUUGGGCGUAAAGAGCGUGUAGGUGGCCCGGUAAGUCCGCCGUGAAAGUCCAGGGCUCAACCCUGGAACGCCGGUGGAUACUGUCGGGCUGGAGUCCGGAAGAGGCGAGUGGAAUUCCUGGUGUAGCGGUGAAAUGCGCAGAUAUCAGGAGGAACACCAAUGGCGCAGGCAGCUCGCUGGGACGGUACUGACACUGAGACGCGAAAGCGUGGGGAGCAAACAGG